UGCCGAGUGCUCUCCCGUCGACUCCGGUACUCCACCGGCGCGAGAAACAUAGGCAGAGUCAACGGGGGAGCGUCAGCAGUCGACCUACCACAGUGAAGACAUCACGGCUGACCCGUUGCACUAUUCAAAGCCUAAAAAUGCAGGGUAAUAUUGUCAGAACGAUUUCCACAUGUCAGAAACAUGUCACAUAAAAGAACAAGUAUACUGAACAGCUGGGAGACUUCAAAGGCAUGAAUGCAGUUUCCAAAAAACAGCAUUAAUUUGGUACAAAUCAUCUCGUAAAUGAGUGUUUGUCAGCACUAAAGAGAACAACGCCUGUCAAACAAAAUAACAAAAACCCUAAAAAACACCUGGUACUGUUCUGAAGGGUUCAUUGUGCAUGCAAAGCACUCUUUCCACUGUCUACACUUCAGUAAAUGUCAAAACUCGCCGAAACACUAAGACAGUGAGAUCAGGGCUAUUUAUAGAAACAAGCUUCUGCAGUAUCUGACUGCAGUGCCAACAUAAAAGAAUUAUAUUUUCCUGUAAACCAUAAUGAGACAAACGAAAACAUGGAAUUGCAUCAUAAUCAUAUUUGAAAGAUUAUCACAUGAGGUGUAUUUAGUCCACAAUAUGCUAGUUUUCUGCAUAUCAUUGAGUUUGUUAUUAAAAUAUGCUAAUGAAAUUAGCACACAUUAAACUGGAAGUCAAGAAACCAGCUAUCCAUUUCUAUGCAAGACUAGAAAUGUUCGUUAGAAAAAAAAGAAAGAAAAUAAAUUGAGAUUUAUGUUAGCAUGAUGUCAUAACCCCUAACCAGUGCUUCAGGUAGUGAGUUUUGAAUUGGGACAUUUAACAGUUAAAACAUGAAUGAAAUAUCAACUGCAGAGCAUUGCUUUUUAUCUCACAGAACCCUUAAUAUCAAAUAUCCACCUGCUCUUUCUGCAUAAUGUCUUCUCAGAAAAUGCAUUAAAAACACUACAAAAUCUAGAACUAUUAGUCUUUAUUAUGAGAGGUUUCCUACCAUCAAUGAAGUCUUGGUAAUGAUCUUACCUGCGGACUGUAUGUUACAUAAAACAAUCAAAUAUUUACAGUGUUACUAGCCACCUUCAAAGUCAGUGUUUGCUAAGAGACAGAUGAUCACAACAAAGGUUUUUAAUUUAGAGACAAUGUUGAGUGUGACCAAACCAGUGCAUGUGUUUAAAUGAAAAAGAGGAAAUACUUAUACAAACUAUUCUGUUACCCACAAAUCACUGGGCUAAAAAGACUUGCCUCCCACAGCACAUUAAUACUGGCUGUCACAGACUACAGCAUUUCUGAUAAUUUGUCCAUGCUCGAAAAGAAGGUAUCUCAGUUCACCACAGUUGCUAUUAGUUCUGCACAGCUCAACACUUGCAUGCUUUGGAUGUGUGUGGGGUGAAUUCAAAUACAGCCUUGGUCAUCCUCCUUGGAAUUCACACACAUUUCUAGUAAUGGCAGCGCGGAUUCCCUACAACCAACACACAGGUUGCAAUGUGAACACGAAAUGGAAUAUUUUUGGGAUAUGAGAAAAUUUCAGCCUGAAUUGGAACUGAACUUAAUGAUCCUAACACCCACUGAAAGUUUUCAAAAUGAGGAGCUGAACUUUGGACAACAGAUGGGGUUUUAAAGUUACUUACUCAUUGCAAAGAAACAUCUCUUGUUUUCUCAUAUUUAAUACAAUCUAAAGGCAUUCCUGUAAAAUGCUUACGGAAUAUGUAAUCACACCUUUUUUGUAAAAUCUUUAAAUUAAAAUUAC